rnacentral:rRNA from 1 species
GUUCGAUUAUGGCUCAGAUUGAACGCUGGCAGGAUGCUUUACACAUGCAAGUCGAACGGCAGCACGGACUUCGGUCUGGUGGCGAGUGGCGAACGGGUGAGUAAUGUAUCGGAACGUGCCUAGUAGCGGGGGAUAACUACGCGAAAGCGUAGCUAAUACCACAUACGCCCUUCGGGGGAAAGCGGGGACCUUCGGGCCUCGCACUAUUGGGGAAACGGCCGAUAUCGGAUUAGCUAGUUGGUGGGGUAACGGCUCACCAAGGCGACGAUCGUAGCUGGUUUGAGAGGACGACCAGCCACUGCUGGGACUGAGACACGGCCCAGACUCCUACGGGAGACAGCAGUGGGGAAUUUUGGACAAUGGAAACCCUGAUCCAGCCAUCCCGCGUGCGAUGAGGCCUUCGGGUUGUAAAGCACUGGCAGGAAAGAAACGGCACGGGAUAAUACCCCGUGCAACUGACGGUAACACCUGCAGAAUAAGCACCGGCUAACUACGUGCCAGCAGCCGCGGUAAUACGUAGGGUGCAAGCGUUAAUCGGAAUUACUGGGCGUAAAGCGUGCGCGAGCGGUUCGGAAAGAAGAUGUGAAAUCCCAGAGCUUAACUUUGGAACUGCAUUUUUUUAACUACCGAGCUAGAGUGUGUCAGAGGAGGUGGAAUUCCGCGUGUAGCAGUGAAAUGCGUAGAUAUGCGGAGGAACACCGAUGGCGAGGCGGCACUCUGGGAUAACACUGACGGCUGCACGAAAAGCGUGGGGAGCAAACAGGAUUAGAUACCUGGUAGUCCACGCCUAAACGAUGUCAACUAGCUGUUGGGACGCUUCGGGCCUUGGUAGCGCAGCUAACGCGUGAAGUUGACCGCCUGGGGAGUACGGUCGCAAGAUUAAAACUCAAAGGAAUUGACGGGGACGCACAAGCGGUGGAUAGUUAAUUCGAUGCAACGCGAAAAACCUUACCUACCCUUGACAUGUGGAAUCCCGAAGAGAUUUGGGAGUGCUCGCAAAGAGAACCGGAACACAGGUGCUGCAUGGCUGUCGUCAGCUCGUGUCGUGAGAUGUUGGGUUAAGUCCCGCAACGAGCGCAACCCUUGUCAUUAGUUGCUACGAAGGGCACUCUAAUGAGACUGCCGGUGAUGGAAACCGGAGGAAGGUGGGGAUGACGUCAAGUCCUCAUGGCCCUUAUGGGUGAGGGCUUCACACGUCAUACAAUGGUCGGGACAGAGGGUCGCCAACCCGCGAGGGGGAGCCAAUCCCAGAAACCCGAUCGUAGUCCGGAUCGCAGUCUGCAACUCGACUGCGUGAAGUCGGAAUCGCUGGUAAUCGCGGAUCAGCAUGUCGCGGUGAAUACGUUCCCGGGUCUUGUACACACCGCCCGUCACACCAUGGGAGUGGGUUUUACCAGAAGUAGUUAGCCUAACCGUAAGGAGGGCGAUUACCACGGUAGAGUUCAUGACUGGGGUGAAGUCAUGUCAAAGAGUAG